GUAGGUGGCAAGCGUUGUCCGGAAUUAUUGGGGCGUAAAGCGCGCGCAGGCGGUUCUUUAAGUCUGAUGUGAAAGCCCACGGGCUCAACCGUGGAGGGCCAUUGGAAACUGGAGAACUUGAGUACAGAAGAGGAAAGCGGAAUUCCACGUGUAGCGGUGAAAUGCGUAGAGAUGUGGAGGAACACCAGUGGCGAAGGCGGCUUUCUGGUCUGUAACUGACGCUGAGGCGCGAAAGCGUGGGGAGCAAACAGGAUUAGAUACCCUGGUAGUCCACGCCGUAAACGAUGAGUGCUAAGUGUUAGGGGGUUUCCGCCCCUUAGUGCUGCAGCUAACGCAUUAAGCACUCCGCCUGGGGAGUACGGCCGCAAAGGCUGA
rnacentral:rRNA from 1 species